ACACACCUGGGCAUCAUUUCUUACCGCUGCACCCUGUGGUGGAAACUAUAAAAAUAAACCUGAGAAUAUGCACACCUGUACCUGAGCCAGAAAAACACAUGCACAGCAAAAAAAAGAAAUUAAAUGGAGUCAAAUUCAAACACAGAGGAGAGAACUUAUAGUUUGCGUGUGUUGGGGGGGGCCACAGAAACCACAGCGAGGAGGUGGAGGUGGUGUCGGGUUUGCAGCGACAGUGGUCGAGUUACAUAGAAAAUGAACAGAGGGAGAGAGAGAGGGCGUGUUGGCCGGUAGAACAGGUUUGGGCGAGGCAGUCAAGCGAGCUUCACACACACAGUGAACCAGAGGGAGAGAGAGCAGAGUCAGAUUUGUUUCCUUUUCAGAGAAGAAGACGAACACGGCGGCGGCGACCAACGAGCAUACAGAGGUCUCUGCCUGCACUGCCAGCUGCCUGAUUGGACAUAAUUUUAGCCUCGCCCUCUUGUGACGUGUCAGCAUGUCCUCAAAUAUCAACGUCUCCCUGGAGAACCCCUACGGUCAGGUAGCCAUUCCACGGGCUAAGCUCCACUCCUCCAGUGACUCCACAGUGAUCGCCAAUCCGAUGGUUAUAACCAGCAAUGAGAACCCGUACCAAGUGUCGAGCUCCGCCCCCCCACCAUACACGGUGAAGGAGGAUGGAGGGGGGAUGAUGAAGGGGGGAGCUGCCGUGCCUGCUGCUACCGUUGCAGGAGAAAGAAGUGACAUCAUCGCAGCAAAUCGUGAUGUCAUAACAGUAGAAGGAUUGUGACUGGCUCAGAUUUAUUUAUUUGUUCUUCCGGAGGAAACAAGGAUGGAAGGAAAUGAGGAAACAAUGAAGGAAGGAGGAAAGGAAACUUCAUGAACUGGAGGACGUUUUCUCGCUGCGGCCAUUUUGUGUCUCAAAAACUUCAUGUUUGUGAAGCUCAAACCUCCGCCCCUCACCACCAUCCCUACCCAGAACUGGGAUUUCAGAGGCCAUGGGGACUUCUGUGGUUACGAGCAUUUGAGGGGUCAUGGGGUCUUUGUGGUGCCCUGCGGACUUUGGGGGUCAUGGGGACUUCGAGGGUCACAGGGACUUUUGUGGGACUCGGAGUCUUUGUGGGGUCCUGGGGGGUUUUUUGCCCUUGAUGGUAUUUUUAUUUUUUUACUGGCAGUUUUUUGAUCAAUAAAUAAAAAAAAUAUUGGGGAGAUUAUUUUUAGACACAAAAUGGCCACCACUGAACCGCAGUUUCACUUCUGUGCUGUUGUCAAGAAACUUAUAGUUUUGAUGUUUUUCCUGUAAACAUUAUUAGGCAUGAUUUUAUAGUGUUACUAGAUAUAAUCAAUAAUGUGGAUUAUAACUGAUUAUAUCUAAUACCAGACAGAGGAUUGUUCUACAAUCUUCUACAUCAUUAAAUAGUGAUGUUUGAAUUCAGAAUUCAGCUGAAAAAAAUCUUUAAAAGAUUCAGUUUAUUGAUUGAAACAUUAUUGAUUAUUACGAAAGUUGUUGAUCAUUACGAACUCCAAAUGAACUGAUAAAAAAAAUAUUUUUUAUCAGGUUGUAACAAAGCAGCUGUAAAUUAUACUGUUUGUUUUUGUUGAUGAUGAUGAUGAACAUUUGUGUGUUGUUGUUGUUGUUGUUGUUUUUUAAUAUUUGAGACAUAAUUGGGAUUAUUCUUGUUUUUUUUCCGUUUUCAUCACAGUGAUGAUGAAAAUCAAAUUAAGCAAUCAGAGCACAGGUCAUGUGAAAUAAAAUGUUACAUUUAAACCUUCAUCUCUGUUGCUGCUCGCACAACAUUAAAGUCUCAGUAACUGCGAGCCGAACAUUUCUCUGAUUUUUAGAUUCAUUCUUAUGAUGGGAAUUUUUGUAAAUUGUCAUUAAUUAUUGUUAAAAUGUAAAGUCAACAUUUAAUUAUUUUACUGUUAAUAAUGAAACAAUUAUUGAUGAUGUAGUUGAUCAAAUAUUGUGAUCGGAGCUGAUAGGAGGCAGAGCCCUGCUCAAUUUGGAUCUUGGACCUUUGAUUUGAUCCACAAGCAUAAACUAAGAUGUAUAAAUCUGUACAAUGGCUUGUGUCACAAAUGUGUCCUCCAGCACAAAACAUAAACACAAAUAAAAAAAA